GACGAACGCUGGCGGCGUGCUUAACACAUGCAAGUCGAACGGAAAGGCCCUGCUUUUGUGGGGUGCUCGAGUGGCGAACGGGUGAGUAACACGUGAGUAACCUGCCCUUGACUUUGGGAUAACUUCAGGAAACUGGGGCUAAUACCGGAUAGGAGCUCCUGCUGCAUGGUGGGGGUUGGAAAGUUUCGGCGGUUGGGGAUGGACUCGCGGCUUAUCAGCUUGUUGGUGGGGUAGUGGCUUACCAAGGCUUUGACGGGUAGCCGGCCUGAGAGGGUGACCGGCCACAUUGGGACUGAGAUACGGCCCAGACUCCUACGGGAGGCAGCAGUGGGGAAUAUUGCACAAUGUGCGUAAGCCUGAUGCAGCAACGCCGCGUGCGGGAUGACGGCCUUCGGGUUGUAAACCGCUUUCGCCUGUGACGAAGCGUGAGUGACGGUAAUGGGUAAAGAAGCACCGGCUAACUACGUG
rnacentral:rRNA from 1 species